GACGAACGCUGGCGGCGUGCCUAAUACAUGCAAGUAGAACGCUGAAGGAGGAGCUUGCUUCUCUGGAUGAGUUGCGAACGGGUGAGUAACGCGUAGGUAACCUGCCUGGUAGCGGGGGAUAACUAUUGGAAACGAUAGCUAAUACCGCAUAAGAGUAGAUGUUGCAUGACAUUUGCUUAAAAGGUGCAAUUGCAUCACUACCAGAUGGACCUGCGUUGUAUUAGCUAGUUGGUGAGGUAACGGCUCACCAAGGCGACGAUACAUAGCCGACCUGAGAGGGUGAUCGGCCACACUGGGACUGAGACACGGCCCAGACUCCUACGGGAGGCAGCAGUAGGGAAUCUCCGGCAAUAGACGGAAGUCUGACCGAGCAACGCCGCGUGAGUGAAGAAGGUUUUCGGAUCGUAAAGCUCUGUUGUAAGAGAAGAACGAGUGUGAGAGUGGAAAGUUCACACUGUGACGGUAUCUUACCAGAAAGGGACGGCUAACUACGUG
rnacentral:rRNA from 1 species